GUUUGCCCCCACGAAUCUGCUAUUAAAAUAUGGAAACUUGGAGAGCAAGUUAAACAACCUUGGUAGCAAAAUUAUUUUUGCGGCUAAGAAGAAGCUUUCGAGCAGACAGGCUAAAGCAGUGGAAAGAGUGCAACGACUAUGUUAAAGAAGGAUAGAAUAAACCUAGAGGGAAAGUUCAUGCGAAAGGCUUGUAUGAAAGGUCAAGGAGGGGCAGAGAAUCGUCAUUGUAGUUUCAGAGGAGUUAAACAAAGAAGGGUUUGGUGGUAAUUGUGUUGCUGAGAUACGAAGAACCUAACAGAGGUAGUAGGCUUGGGCUUGGCACUUUUCCUACCGCAGAAGAAGCUGCUAAGGUUAUGUUCGAUCCCUUGGCUCGGCUUACCUUCCCUGUCUCUGAGUUUACUAGCACGUUGAGUCAGUCUGAGGUGUGUACUGUUGAUGAUAAGGGGGUUCUCGGUGGUGAUGUUUGUGUGGAAGCAAGAGGAUGCUGAUUGUGAAUCUAAACUAGUUACUCGGAUUUCAGAUGUUAAAGAAAGCUGUGGUAAAAUUACAGUUGGACACGUGAAUACAUUUUCGGUUAAUUUGACUCUAUGUAUUUUGUUGCUGACUGAGUUUGUAUAUAAAAAUAAUUAAUUUGACACAAUCUGAGAGUUUGAUAA